AGCAAAGAAUGUCCAGAUGUUCUUUUUGGAGAAGAAGAACUACAAAGUUAGAGCAAAUACUCUUAUUUAUAAGAAGAAUGAACUCAGUGGGUGAGAAGGAGAAUACAAAUGCAACAGCCUCAAAUUAGCAGUGGAUGCCUACUGGGCUCCUGCAACCCCUUUCCACGGCUUACAGAUCUUAGGACUUCUCAGCCUCCAUAACUGGAUGAGCCAAUCCUGUAGGGUAAUGUUUGUUCUGUUUCUCUGGAAACCUUGACUAAUACAUCGAUAGAAGGAAGGACAAAGACUGCAUACUGGGGUUCCAAACAGGGAUCUGAAAUCAAGACAAGAAUAAGGUGU
rnacentral:lncRNA from 1 species